rnacentral:rRNA from 1 species
CGGACGGGUGAGUAAUGUCUGGGAAACUGCCUGAUGAGGGGGAUAACUACUGGAAACGGUAGCUAAUACCGCAUAACGUCGCAAGACCAAANAGGGGGACCUUCGGGCCUCUUGCCAUCAGAUGUGCCCAGAUGGGAUUAGCUAGUAGGUGGGGUAACGGCUCACCUAGGCGACGAUCCCUAGCUGGUCUGAGAGGAUGACCAGCCACACUGGAACUGAGACACGGUCCAGACUCCUACGGGAGGCAGCAUG